rnacentral:rRNA from 1 species
AACGAACGCUGGCGGCAUGCCUAACACAUGCAAGUCGAACGAGACCUUCGGGUCUAGUGGCGCACGGGUGCGUAACGCGUGGGAAUCUGCCCUUGGGUUCGGAAUAACUCGCCGAAAGGCGUGCUAAUACCGGAUGAUGUCGUAAGACCAAAGAUUUAUCGCCCAGGGAUGAGCCCGCGUAAGAUUAGGUAGUUGGUGAGGUAAAGGCUCACCAAGCCGACGAUCUUUAGCUGGUCUGAGAGGAUGAUCAGCCACACUGGGACUGAGACGCGGCCCAG